GCUUGAAGUAUGAUGAUGACUUAUGAUGCUAUCUAAAUAGAACCUUGUCUAGUUUUUGAGUGGAAUUAUCACAUGAAAAGAUUCUUUAGGAUAUUUUUAAAUUAAAGGAUAGCAACUAGGGUCACCAGCUUGGCUUUUGGGUGAGGUAACAAAUGUAGGUCUUGACUUGUAACUUUUAGUUUGAAGGACUUCCAAUCAUUUUAAGGAUUGUUAUGAUAAACUAAAUAUGGUUUUGCCAAUGAAGUGUUACAUGGUUUAUUCCAGCUAAUGUCUUAAAGUAGAUUAGAAAAAUGUACUG
rnacentral:lncRNA from 1 species